rnacentral:rRNA from 1 species
UACGUAGGGAGCAAGCGUUGUCCGGAAUCAUUGGGCGUAAAGAGCGUGUAGGCGGCCCGAUAAGUCCGCUGUGAAAGUCACAGGCUCAACCUGUGAAAGCCGGUGGAUACUGUCGGGCUAGAGUCCGGAAGAGGCGAGUGGAAUUCCUGGUGUAGCGGUGGAAUGCGCAGAUAUCAGGAGGAACACCUAUGGCGAAGGCAGCUCGCUGGGACGGUACUGACGCUGAGACGCGAAAGCGUGGGGAGCAAACAGGAUUAGAAACCCGCGUAGUCC